UACGGAGGGUGCAAGCGUUGUUCGGAAUCACUGGGCGUAAAGCGCGUGUAGGUGGUGGGACAAGUCUGCUGUGAAAGCGCCUGGCUUAACCGGGCGAGGUCGGCGGAAACUGUUCGACUCGAGGCCGGUAGAGGGGGGUGGAAUUCCCGGUGUAGUGGUGAAAUGCGUAGAGAUCGGGAGGAACACCUGUGGCGAAGGCGGCCCCCCUGGGCCCGGGCCUGACACUGAGACGCGAAGGCGUGGGGGAGCGAACGGGG
rnacentral:rRNA from 1 species